AGAUGUGAUUCCCUGGCCUUAAGUUGGCGCUAUAUACAGUUCCAUGAACGAAACAGCACUGUUUAUACCUCCUGGUCUCUGCACCCUCUGCCUUUAUUCACCUGGAAAUGAAGACACACCUCAGUUACCGUAUCUGCAGAGUCUUCUUUGACCCACUUGUCAGCCAAUUUGAAAAAGUACCAGAAGGUCCUAUCCCUCCAUCUACACCAAAGUUUGCAUAUGGAAAGGUCGCUCUGGAAAAGUUAAAGACAGUGGGAGCAGCUCUGGACAUUCUGUGUCCCUCUGGGCCCAUCAAAAGCCUUUAUCCCUUGACAUUUAUCCAGGUGAAACAGCAUUAUGGGUUUGUGCUGUACCGGACAACACUUCCUCAAGAUUGCAGCAACCCAGCACCUCUCUCUUCACCCUUCAAUGGAGUCCACGAUCGAGCAUAUGUUGCUGUGGAUGGGAUCCCCCAGGGAGUCCUUGAGCGAAACAAUGUGAUCACUCUGAACAUAACAGGGAAAGCUGGAGCCACUCUGGACCUUCUGGUAGAGAACAUGGGACGUGUGAACUAUGGUGCAUAUAUCAAUGAUUUUAAGGGUUUGGUUUCUAACCUGACCCUCAGUUCCAAUAUCCUCACGGACUGGACGAUCUUUCCACUGGACACUGAGGAUGCAGUGCGCAGCCACCUGGGGGGCUGGGGACACCGUAACAGUGGCCACCAUGAUGAAGCCUGGGCCCACAGCUCAUCCAACUACACGCUCCCGGCCUUUUAUGUGGGGAACUUCUCCAUUCCCAGUGGGAUCCCAGACUUGCCCCAGGACACCUUUAUCCAGU
rnacentral:sRNA from 1 species